rnacentral:rRNA from 1 species
AUACGGAGGAUGCGAGCGUUAUCCGGAUUUAUUGGGUUUAAAGGGAGCGUAGGCGGGAGCUUAAGUCAGCGGUUAAAUGGUGCGGCUCAACCGUGCCCUGCCGUUGAAACUGGGUUUCUUGAGAGUGCAAGAGGCGGAUGGAAUUCAUGGGGUAGCGGGGAAAUGCUUAGAUAUCAUGAAGAACUCCGAUUGCGAAGGCAGUCCGCUGGGGCACGUCUGACGCUGAUGCUCGAAGGUGCGGGAAUCAAACAGGAUUAGAAACCCUGGUAGUCCGCACGGUAAACGAUGAUUACCCGCUGUCGGCGGUAGACAGUCGGCGGCCAAGCGAAAGCGAUAAGUAAUCCACCUGGGGAGUACGCCGGCAACGGUGAAACUCAAAGGAAUUGACGGGG